rnacentral:rRNA from 1 species
GGAUCAUUAAAGAGUUUAAUAAAACUCCUAAACCCCUGUGAACUUACUGGUGUUUGGCUCGCCAGAUAUAGUCUGGUCCGUAAGCAAAUCGACUGCCUGCCUGUGUAACAGGCAGGUAAGCUUUUGUCGCGGGGUCCCGGAUCAACCCGGGCUAGAUAGCCACUUAACUAUAUACUUUUUAUAAAAUCUGUGAACUUACUAGGUUGGAUUCUCGCCAGAGAUAGUCUGGUUUCUGCUUCGCGGAUCGCCUACCCGUGACACCUGUCACAGGCAGGUAUGCUUCUGCCGCGGGUCCGUAAGUAAAUCAUCUGUUUCGCAAGGGACGGCGAUUUACCUGUGGAAGAGGUCCGCUAACUAUAUUCUUAGUAUAGUUUGUUCACUAGAUCAAACAUUCUGAAUAAAAACUUAAACUAGUUAAAACUUUCAACAACGGAUCUCUUGGUUCUGGCAUCGAUGAAGAACGCAGCGAAAUGCGAUAAGUAAUGUGAAUUGCAGAAUUCAGUGAAUCAUCGAAUCUUUGAACGCACAUUGCGCCCAUUAGUAUUCUAGUGGGCAUGCCUGUUCGAGCGUCAUUUCAACCCUUAAGCCCCUGUUGCUUAGCGUUGGGAGCCUACAGCCUGCUGUAGCUCCUUAAAGGUAGUGGCGGAGUCGGUUCACACUCUAGACGUAGUAAAAUCUUUAUCUCGCCUAUGGAUGAGCCGGCGCCUUGCCGUAAAACCCCUAAUCUUUCACAAGGUUGACCUCGGAUCAGGUAGGAAUACCCGCUGAACUUAAGCAUAUCAAUAAGCGGAGGAAAAGAAACCAACAGGGAUUGCCCUAGUAACGGCGAGUGAAGCGGCAACAGCUCAAAUUUGAAAUCUGGCCUUCGGGUCCGAGUUGUAAUUUGCAGAGGAUGCUUUGGGCGUGGUGCCUUCCGAGUUCCCUGGAACGGGACGCCUCAGAGGGUGAGAGCCCCGUACGGUUGGACACCAAGCCUCUGUAAAGCUCCUUCGACGAGUCGAGUAGUUUGGGAAUGCUGCUCUAAAUGGGAGGUAAAUUUCUUCUAAAGCUAAAUAUUGGCCAGAGACCGAUAGCGCACAAGUAGAGUGAUCGAAAGAUGAAAAGCACUUUGAAAAGAGGGUUAAAUAGCACGUGAAAUUGUUGAAAGGGAAGCGUUUGCGACCAGACCUUUUCCCAGCGGAUCAUCCGGUGUUCUCACCGGUGCACUUCGCUGGGUUGAGGCCAGCAUCGGUUUCCGCAGGGGGAUAAAAGCCUGGGGAACGUAGCUCCCUCGGGAGUGUUAUAGCCCCUCGCAUAAUACCCUUGCGGGGACCGAGGACCGC